AAAGCCCACCAAGGCGACGAUCAGUAGCCGGCCUGAGAGGGUGAACGGCCACAUUGGGACUGAGACACGGCCCAAACUCCUACGGAAGGCAGCAG
rnacentral:rRNA from 1 species